AUUGAACGCUGGCGGCAGGCCUAACACAUGCAAGUCGAGCGGAUGAAGGGAGCUUGCUCCUGGAUUCAGCGGCGGACGGGUGAGUAAUGCCUAGGAAUCUGCCUGGUAGUGGGGGAUAACGUCCGGAAAUGGGCGCUAAUACCGCAUACGUCCUGAGGGAGAAAGUGGGGGAUCUUCGGACCUCACGCUAUCAGAUGAGCCAAGGUCGGAUUAGCUAGUUGGUGGGGUAAAGGCCUACCAAGGCGACGAUCCGUAACUGGUCUGAGAGGAUGAUCAGUCACACUGGAACUGAGACACGGUCCAGACUCCUACGGGAUGCAGCAGUGGGGAAUAUUGGACAAUGGGCGAAAGCCUGAUCCAGCCAUGCCGCGUGUGUGAAGAAGGUCUUCGGAUUGUAAAGCACUUUAAGUUGGGAGGAAGGGCAGUAAGUUAAUACCUUGCUGUUUUGACGUUACCAACAGAAUAAGCACCGGCUAACUUCGUG
rnacentral:rRNA from 1 species